UUCAGAUGUCAGAUGGUUGUUGAUGUUCAGCUGAGAGUCAACAUGUAUAAACCUGUCAUGAUCAUCACUGUCCUACUACUGUGUCUCACAGGUCUUUCUCUCAAUGUUGAGGUUCACCAGAAUCCUUCUGCAGUCAUCAGCAGACCUGGAGAGAAUGUCCAACUCUUCUGCCACCAUCAGAAAACAGACUACAGGGUCAUGCUGUGGUACCAGAAAUCACCAGGAGAAACAGCACUCAAACUCAUAGGAUAUUUAAAUUUUCAAACUCAAAAUGUUGAAAAAUUAUAUGAAAAUCAUUUUAAUAUGAGUGGGGAUCUGAGUGGAAAUAGUCCAAAGAAUGCCUCUCUGAAUGUUUUCAACUUGGGACCUGAAGACACAGCUGUGUAUUUCUGUGCUGCUAGUUAUGCACAGUGUUUCACUACAGCCUCUCUGCUCUACAAAAACCUCUCAUUCACUCUCAGUAGAUGUAUACUGUAGCAACACCUCCAUCACAGCUGUAUCCAGGUCUGGUGAUGUCACUUCCUGGUUCUCCUCUCCAGUCAGUUCAGAUGUCAGAUGGUUGUUGAUGUUCAGCUGAGAGUCAACAUGUAUAAACCUGUCAUGAUUAUCACUGUCCUACUACUGUGUCUCCCAGGUCUCUUUCUCUGUGUUGAGGUUCACCAGACUCCCUCUGCAGUCAUCAGCAGACCUGGAGAGAAUGUUCAACUCUUCUGCCACCAUCAGAAAACAGACUACACUUUCAUGUUGUGGUACCAGAAAUCACCAGGAAAAACAGCACUGAAUCUCAUAGGAUAUUUAAAUUAUAAGACAUCAGAGAGUGAAAAGCCAUAUGAUAAACGUUUUAAAAUUAGUGGGGACUUGAGUGGAGAACAGGCAAAGAAUGCAUCUCUGAACAUUUCUAACUUCACAUCUGAAGACACAGCUGUGUAUUUCUGUGCUGCUAGUUAUGCACAGUGUUUCACUACUCCCUCUCUGCUCUACAAAAACCUCUCAUUCACUCUCAGUAGAUCAUAUAGCACCA
rnacentral:lncRNA from 1 species